rnacentral:tRNA from 1 species
UUUAGUAAGGUGUUUGGUGCAUAAUAUAUUUUCGUUAUAUUGGAGUUUUUAAAAAUGUUAAUU